rnacentral:piRNA from 1 species
UCCGCACACUCACCUGUGUAGCCCUCGUU